GACGAACGCUGGCGGCGUGCUUAACACAUGCAAGUCGAACGGAAAGGCCCUGCUUUUGUGGGGUGCUCGAGUGGCGAACGGGUGAGUAACACGUGAGUAACCUGCCCUUGACUUUGGGAUAACUUCAGGAAACUGGGGCUAAUACCGGAUAGGAGCUCCUGCUGCAUGGUGGGGGUUGGAAAGUUUCGGCGGUUGGGGAUGGACUCGCGGCUUAUCAGCUUGUUGGUGGGGUAGUGGCUUACCAAGGCUUUGACGGGUAGCCGGCCUGGGAGGGUGACCGGCCACAUAGGGACUGAGAUACGGCCCAGACGCCUACGGGAGGCAGCAGUGGGGAAUAUUGCAGAAUGGGCGGAAGCCUGAUGCAGCAACGCCGCGUGCGGGAUGACGGCCUUCGGGUUGUAAACCGCUUGCGCCUGUGACGAAGCGUGAGUGACGGUAAUGGGUAAAGAAGCACCGGCUAACUACGUG
rnacentral:rRNA from 1 species